GAUGAACGCUGGCGGCGUGCCUAAUACAUGCAAGUCGAGCGAACAGAUGAGAAGCUUGCUUCUCUGAUGUUAGCGGCGGACGGGUGAGUAACACGUGGGUAACCUACCUAUAAGACUGGGAUAACUCCGGGAAACCGGGGCUAAUACCGGAUAAUAUUUUGAACCGCAUGGUUCAAUAGUGAAAGACGGUUUCGGCUGUCACUUAUAGAUGGACCCGCGCCGUAUUAGCUAGUUGGUAAGGUAACGGCGUACCAAGGCGACGAUACGUAGCCGACCUGAGAGGGUGAGCGGCAACACUGGAACGGAGACACGGGCCAGACUCCGACGGGAGGCAGCAGUAGGGAAUCUUCCGCAAUGGGCGAAAGCCUGACGGAGCAACGCCGCGUGAGUGAUGAAGGUCUUCGGAUCGUAAAACUCUGUUGUUAGGGAAGAACAAAUUUGUUAGUACCUGAACAAGUCUUGACGGUACCUAACCAGAAAGCCACGGCUAACUACGUGCCAGCCGCCGCCGUAA
rnacentral:rRNA from 1 species